GACGAACGCUGGCGGCGUGCUUAACACAUGCAAGUCGAACGGUAAGGCCCUUCGGGGUACACGAGUGGCGAACGGGUGAGUAACACGUGGGUGAUCUGCCCUGCACUUCGGGAUAAGCCUGGGAAACUGGGUCUAAUACCGGAUAGGACUCCUGGCUUCAUGGUUGGGGGUGGAAAGCUUUUGCAGUGUGGGAUGGGCCCGCGGCCUAUCAGCUUGUUGGUGGGGUGAUGGCCUACCAAGGCGACGACGGGUAGCCGGCCUGAGAGGGUGACCGGCCACACGGGGACUGAGAUACGGCCCAGACUCCUACGGGAGGCAGCAGUGGGGAAUAUUGCACAAUGGGCGCAAGCCUGAUGCAGCGGCGCCGCGUGAGGGAUGACGGCCUUCGGGUUGUAAACCUCUUUCAGCACCGACGAAGCGCAAGUGACGGUAGGUGCAGAAGAAGGACCGGCCAACUACGUGCCAGCAGCCGCAGUAA
rnacentral:rRNA from 1 species